GAUGAACGCUGGCGGCGUGCCUAAUACAUGCAAGUCGAGCGAACAGAUGAGGAGCUUGCUCCUCUGACGUUAGCGGCGAACGGGUGAGUAACACGUGGAUAACCUACCUAUAAGACUGGGAUAACUUCGGGAAACCGGAGCUAAUACCGGAUAAUAUAUUGAACCGCAUGGUUCAAUAGUGAAAGACGGUUUUGCUGUCACUUAUAGAUGGAUCCGCGCCGCAUUAGCUAGUUGGUAAGGUAACGGCUUACCAAGGCAACGAUGCGUAGCCGACCUGAGAGGGUGAUCGGCCACACUGGAACUGAGACACGGUCCAGACUCCUACGGGAGGCAGCAGUAGGGAAUCUUCCGCAAUGGGCGAAAGCCUGACGGAGCAACGCCGCGUGAGUGAUGAAGGUCUUCGGAUCGUAAAACUCUGUUAUUAGGGAAGAACAAAUGUGUAAGUAACUAUGCACGUCUUGACGGUACCUAAUCAGAAAGCCACGGCUAACUACGUG
rnacentral:rRNA from 1 species